ACACCCUCAAGCUAUGCUUGGUGUUGGGCGUCUGUCCCGCUCCCCGGAGCGCGGACUCGCCUCAAAGUCAUUGGCGGCGGUCGUGCCGGCUCCUCGCGCAGCACAUUUGCGCUUCUCGGAGGCCCGGCGGAUCAGCGUCCAGCAAGCUACUUUUACG
rnacentral:misc_RNA from 1 species